CUCUUAAUUCUCAUACAAUUACUACUGUGUAUGUGUAUGUCACUCUUCUCUUCUUCUUGCUGGUCUCUCUCUCUUUUUUUUUUUUUUUUCUCCAAAAAAUACUGUUAAAUCUAUAUAUAGCUGAUUUAUUCCUCUCUUUUUUCUAGCUUUCUGCAAUUUCUGGUUCAUGAUGUACAGUAAAGCUCUUGUUUGUUUUCAAGUAUAUAUCUUUUAUAUCUACUAAUUUUGUCUGAUCCAUAUCUGAUUAAUGGUCUUAGUUAUGUUCAUGCUCUUAGAAUUUUUAUGUGGUGACUCAUAAUUUUAUUUUAAUUUCUUAAUAUGUUCUUUUUUCUAAGUAUCUUGCUUUUUCUUACAAUAAUUAUCUUGUUAUCUUGGAUAUCUUAACUGGUAUUUCUUUUGUUCUUUUUCUCUAAGAAUUCAUUCUCUAGUUUCUUUUCUCUGUAAAUUGUGAUUCCCUUUUCUCCUUUAGUUUCUUUAAUUUUUUGAACACUAAGAUUUAAAAGUGUAGGGGAAAACUUAAUUAAUAGUGGCGAAGAUAGAAAUUUAGUUAAGGAUAUUCAAGAUUUAAUAUAUAUCUACUAAUAAUUUUUGACAUAUAUACGUAGUACAAUUUUUUAGUAAGAGGGUAUUCAACUGACCAUCAUUCAUUUUAUGUGGCUCCGCCAACCACCACAGAAGAGUAGAUUUAACUUAUAUACAUUAUAUUUGUAACACCUCGUACCUUUAACCUAAGUUUUGACCAUGAUCCUAGACUUAGAAAACCAGAUAAAGAAUGUGGCAAUUGGAAUUUCCUCUUCAGUUGUAAGAUGGUGGUUUACGCCCAUGAACAGUGACCGUAUUUCAGUAUACGACUCGUAUUUCAAGUCGUAAACUGGUACCAAAGAUUUCUGAGCAUUCUGGAAUUUGACAUUUGGAGGCUACAUUGUUAAAACGGACCGUAUUUCAAAAUACGGCCCGUAUUUCAAAAUAUAUUUGAAAUUUGGGAAAACUUCCUUAAUGAAAGUUGUAGAGAUUUGAAAUACCUUUCCAACGGUAUAUUAUGAGGGUCAAACGGACAUCUGCGCAAAGAGUUAUGGCCAUUUCACUGAAGAGACGCAGUGCAGUCCAUACGGAAUACGGACUAUAUUUCAAAAUACGGCCAGUAUUUAACUGGGCGUAAAAUUAAAUUUUCCAGAACAGAAUAUAUUCGUCCAUAUCAGUUCAAAUCAUUAUUUUUCAUUCCUUCAAGCCCUAGAACAACCUCCUACCCUCUCCCAUCAUCAAGAACACCAAGGGUUUUCAAGAACUCAAGAUUUUGGAAAUCUUCUUCAAAGUUAAAAUAUUUAAUUCAAGUUUGGAGCAUUACCAGGUACUAAUUUACAGGACGACGCAUCUGCUCAGUAGGAUAGCAUUCGUAUCAGCUUAUUGGUGAGCCCCAUCUCAUUCGGGGUUUACUCAACUCUUUAUUUAAUGAUUAGCUAUGCAUCUAAGGUAUGCUGGGGGCCUUGUCCCAACGAGUAUGUUUUCCAUGUUCAGACUUAUGUUAGAGGUUUCAUAAACUAGACAAGUCAGUUAUGUUAUGUCAGACUUUCGGAGUCGUAUAGCCAUUUUGGCUCAUUCAUGUUAUUUCAGCACUCAUGUUUAAACAAGUAUUAUGACUUAUUGCGUUUUAUAAAGGCUCAUCAUGCAUUCACGUUAUAUUUCACUCAUGUUAUGCCUCAUGAUAAUUUAACAAGUCAUGUGGUUCGCUCGGUCACGUGCAGUAAGGCACCGAGUGCCGUGUUUCGCCCAGUCCAUGGUUCGGGGCGUGACAAAGCUUGGUAUCAGAGCCCUAGGUUCAAGUGUCUUAGGGAGUCUAUGAAACCGUGUCCAGUGGGGUCACUUUUAUAUGUGUGUGGCGCCCACACAUAUAAACAGUUGACCACCAAGGCAUUUAAGAUUGUCUCACUUCUUUCAACUCUAGAUCGUGCAAUAGAGCUAUGUUCUCAGAAAUCACUAGGACUCGUGUGUUGUUUCCCAUUUUACCGAAUACACCACGUCUCAAUGGAUGAGAAAGAUAUAAAUCUAAUCAUUAUCGAUGUGUUUCUUUCGGAUGGAGUCAUCAGGAAUUAUUCUAAUUUGUGCCAUGAAGCUUAGAGAGCAGUAAGUAACAUUCUUUUUCCAUCGAAUUCUGAACGUAUCAAAUGUGUAAGCGGCAAGAAGGAAAUUCGAGACCCAAGACUUGCCAAAUAGUGCAUGGUGUGUUUAUCAGGUGUUAGUACCAUUUGAAAGACAAAUUUCGAUAUGGUAGCACACGUAGGUUAUAUACCCUAUAGGGUAAGUUUAUUUGGACUCUUUGACCAUGAAGCUAUAGUUUAAGGGUGAUGGCUCAUAUUUAAGACCCCACGAGGUAGCUUGUUACGAAGUUAACCGCAGCAGACAUAAAUUGUCCACGGUAGUUUUGAGCAGGGGAAUAGCCUAAGAGCCAACCACUUGUAAUACUAGAAAGUCUCGACUUUUUGAAGGAUAUAUAUAGUUUUUCCAUAUGAUCUAUGCACAUUACUAGGAAGGGACUGAUGCGAUAAGAAACCAUGAGCAGACAAUAUUGAAUUUUUUUUAGUAUUAGUUUCAAAUUAUUUCAGCUUAUUCAGAUUAGACCUAGAGAGUAUGACGUUAGUAAGUUCCUACAAGAAGCAGAUAUUACUAUGAGAUAAAAGAUAUGACAAUUCCCUCUAAGGUUAUGUGAUUAAGUAUUUAUCCCUGAUGUGUAUAGUAUGAUAUAAUUUUGAAAGUGUAUAGGGAGUUUGGGGUUAGUUUUUCCAAUUCCUUGUUUGAAACAGAUGAAAUUUCCCUAAGUGCGAUCCAUGUCUAUAGUUCAGAAAGAUAGUAUACAACCCCAUAAUAGAGUCAGAUAAGGAAGAAAAGUUAAAAAUAACCUUAUGCUUCACUUUAGUACUCAGAGAAGAAUUAGAGAAUAUGAUGCUUGCAAGUGGUUAACAGAAGCAUAGUGAGUGAGUUUGAAUAGAUACAGUGAAUUAGAAAUUUUCAGCAGAGUUAGUAGAAGUACGAUUUGAGUUACUUAGUCAAGUUAGCACUACUAAGUGGAUAACUAUAUGAAUACACCGAAGGCGUAUUAGAACCCAAAGGGUUUAAGUUAAAUUUGAGGUAUAGAAAUUGGUGAAAGAAGAAAACCAUCUAAGCAAUAAGAGAGCAAGCUACAGAAGAAGAGCCUUUAAGGGUUAUCAGAAAAGAGUUUUCCUCAAGACUGACAAAGCUAGUAUGCCUGUUAUGUACAUUAGAAACCCGUUCAUUUAAGAAAUCCAGUUUUCCCAGUAAGUAAGGCUUGCUUGAAGUAAGCCGAAGAAAUGAGUCAUCAUUAUGUUAGAGGAAAUUAGCAGAACCACUAGAUGACCACUUAUCGCUAACUCAAGGGAUCCACAGGCUUUAAACGUCAACUUUUGAACUAAGGGGGAGAUCGUGCGAUAAGGUGUCGAUAUAAACUAUGUGUUUUGUAAGUUGAUAGGUGUUAAGGAGAUUAUGUUAGAGGGUCAUAGUUUCAUGUAGCCAAGAUAAGGUGCGUAGAAUGUGAUUUUUGUCAUGCUGUUGAGAUCAGUACCAGGUAAUUAUGUUAUAAGAUAAAGUUCUAGAUCGAAUAGCGGGUUUUAAGGGUAUAACGGUUCCAAUUCCAAAGUAAUUCAUGUACUAUGUGGUACUAAUGCCCAGACGUACUCUACUCAUGCCUUUCAUACCCAUAUCAUGCCCAUGUUAGAGCUUUACACUCCAUAUUUAAGAUACAAGAAUUAAGACUUCAUACGAUGGUAAGCUAUGCAAGGGAAUGUCCUUUCAUGUUUCGCACAUCAGGUGUGCUCAUGUCAAAAAAAAAAAUCGCAUUCAGGUCUCACAUAUCUAUCAUGCUUUUAUACUCAUGUUCAUGUUCUAGCAUCUAAGUGCUUUUCAAAUCUGAUGAUGAUCUUGACUCCUAUGAUUAUGUUCUCUAUGUUACCACAUACUCGUGUCCCAAUCCAUUUCAUUAUGCAUCCCACUUAUAGCGGUAUCGUAACAAUGAUGUUGUUAGAUAAUAAUGAAGGUGAACCAAGAUGGAUGUCCUACCCAUGAUUCUAUGUAAUUCGUGCUUAUGUUUCUUUGGCUAAUGUUUCAAACCAUCUCAAAGGAUGCCCUUAUCUUUUCCGAAGUACCGAUGCCAUUUUUAUGUUCAAAGUGACUUUCUACCUAUGUCUUAGAUGCUCGAGGAACGAAUUAUUCAUGCCUAUAAUCUAUUUUUUCAUGAGCCUUAUUUAUAACAAGGGCAAUUACUCACGGUGAUAAGAGUAAGCUAUGUUGAAUCAUGUCCCGUCAUUUCAGUAUAUCUAAGUUCUAAGGGUAAUACUUUAUCCAUGCCUUACGUCUAUGAGUACCCAAGAGUGAGCCUACAAUUGUACUCCACGCAAAUCACACGUAUGUCUUAUUAAUAGCUCAAUACUCAUGAAAUUAGGUCCACACGCCACGAUAUGCAUCGAUGAUGUACUCAUGUAAAUGUCAGGUUGCUCAUGGUCCCAUGCCCCAUGUCAUGCUAUUCACGUUUCAUGACAUAUGAAUCGCGUUCCCAUGUACGCAUGUUUCAUGUUACGUCCUCCAUGUACAAUGCACCAUGUCAUGUCUGUUCUCUAAAGCAAAGUAUCUCAUGUGAAUAGUACUAAUAAUUUCUUUUCUCUCAAUCCUCUAUAAUUCGCUCACGAGAAUGAGCAAGAUGAGCUAAGGUAUUCAUAAUCAUGAUUAACAGCUAACAAGAUAAUCAGAAGUAAGGUGCAUUCCUAUAUUCAAAUAGAUAUCUUUUCAUGUACCCUGUGGUACUUAUCUCAGGAGUAUUCUACUCAGAUUCGACGUAUUCAUGUCAUGCCUAUGCUAGAGAUUUAUGAAUACCUAUGUUAGGAUCAUAUUCUUGUUAUACCACUCAAGUUUAUCGCAUUCACAUCGAGUUGCGUUUACAUUUAAAGCCUAAGUCAUACUCCUAUCUCAUAUUACCAUGCCGACAUACGAACGUCUAUGAUCAAGUCUCUAAGUAUCCAAAUCCUACCCGCGCUUAGUAUUCAAUCCUCAUGUUGUAACAAUUAUGUUUUCGACAUUCAGAUCCCAUGUUACGAUAUCCAUGUGUACACGUAUUUGUAUCUCAUGAUAGUUUAGCACUCAUGUAUCCUUGUCAUCCAGUCUUCAUGCAUUUAUGUCCCACGUCAUGUGUCUCACGCCCAGGUAAUCAUGUCAUGUUCGUGCCUAUUCCAGUACUCAUGUCAUUCGUGCAUACGGGUUUUCUUCCAAACCCCAUGUAUAGUAAUCAUGUAAUCAUUCAGCCAAUAUCCAUGUGUUCAAGCCAGCUCAGUAUUUAUGUUAGCUACAUUCAAGAUUCAGUAAUCACGUUAUGUCACAUCAUGCCUAUUAAGAUACCCUGUGAGUUCUGUGUUGGUACUUUAGUUAGCUGGCAGGCGUUUGAGAAAUGUCGUGAGGGUCCGAAUUAUGAAGGAAAUCCUACCAUAAAUUUUGUAGAUUCCAGAGUUAGUAGCGAUUCUUAACCACUAGUCAUAAAUCGAGAACAAAUAUUUCAUGAUUCUCAUUCAUGUAGGUGCUACUCAGUUUCAUGUUCCCCAUGUACAUGUUUCCAUGUAAUCACGUAUUCAGUUCUUAUGAUUCAUGACCAUGUUCCCACGUAACCAUGUCAGACUCUUAUGUUUUAUGUCAUGUUUCUUUCAUGUUCAUGUAUUCAAGCAAUGUCCAACCAUAUUCUUAACCAUGACCCAUCAUUCGAGGACGAAUGAUCCCAAGGGGGAGAUAUUGUAACACCUCGUACCUUUAACCUAAGCUUUGACCAUGAUCCUAGACUUAGAAGACCAGAUAAAGAAUGUGGCAAUUGGAAUUUCCUCUUCAGUUGUAAGAUGGUGGUUUACGCCCAUGAACAGUGACCGUAUUUCAGUAUACGGCCCGUAUUUCAAGUCGUAAACUGGUUCCAAAGAUUUCUGAGCAUUCUGGAAUUUGACAUUUGGAGGCUACAUUGUUAAAACGGACCGUAUUUCAAAAUACGGCCCGUAUUUCAAAAUAUAUUUGAAAUUUGGGAAAACUUCCUUGAUGAAAGUUGUAGAUAUUUGAAAUACCUUUCCAACGGUAUAUUAUGAGGGUCAAACGGACAUCUGCGCAAAGAGUUAUGGCCAUUUCACUGAAGAGACGCAGUGCAGUCCAUACGGAAUACGGACCGUAUUUCAAAAUACGGCCAGUAUUUAACUGGGCGUAAAAUUAAAUUUUCCAGAACAGAAUAUAUUCGUCCAUAUCAGUUCAAAUCAUUAUUUUUCAUUCCUUCAAGCCCUAGAACGACCUCCUACCCUCUCCCAUCAUCAAGAACACCAAGGUAAGCCUACUCUAAUUAUUUCAAGUCAAUUCUAAUACAUACCCUUGUAAUCUAAACAAGAAAUCAUCAUUCCUAAACUAGGGUUUUCAAGAAAACCCAUCUCGAGGUUCAAGAACUCAAGAUUUUGGAAAUUUUCUUCAAAGUUAAAGUAUUUAAUUCAAGUUUGGAGCAUUACCAGGUAUGUAGAGUUACUAUCUACGUGUGGGAACAUCAUUAUUCUUCCCCACGCCUCAUAAUCCAUAAAUUAUUAUUCUUUACGAAAACUAGGGUUUCUAUGCCAUGCUCAUGAUAACCCUAGGUCCAUGUCCAUGAUUAUAUUAUGUAUGAAUUGUUAUAAUUCCAUCAUUGAGUUCUUACUAUUUCUUUAUGAUUAUUAAGAAUCUGUCUGUAAUCUAUGAAAAAUCCAUAUAUCCCAUUCCAUGGGUUCAUGCAUGCUAGUUUAUGAUAUAUUAUGCUAUUUUCAAGAAAAUACUAUACAUGUUUUACAAGUUCAUGCAAGCAAGCUAUAAUUCAUGAUAUCCAUGUACAAGCAAGUUAUAUUCAUGAAAACCAUGGGCAGCAAGUGCCACUUAUUUUACAUGUUCAUGUUUUGGGAGUUGCUUUAAUUACCGAGGAAGGCUUCAAAUAGCCUGAAACUACGUAGCCACCGUAGGAUGAGGAUCGCUCCACCCAUGUCCCGGAUGAUCUCUCAUAAUGACUGGAUCCUUUCAUAAUAUUAUUAAACCUCAUGUCCCUGGCAAGGUAUGAGUGUUCUGCUGGUAGGACGCAAGUACCAGACCAUGUUAUCGGUUAUAUUUAUUGCUCUCCCCACUCACGAUACUUUACGCAUGAUAUAUAUGUAUAUAUACUCAUGUUCAUGAUCAUGUUUUCAAUUUCUGUUCUUAUCAUGUUAUUCCAUGUCCCAUGUUAUUUCUUCAGUUGCUUUACAUACCAGUACAUUCAAUGUGCUGACGUCCCCUUUUAUUGCCCGGGGGUCUGCAUUUCAC